rnacentral:lncRNA from 1 species
AAAAAAUUAGCCAGUCAUGAUGGCACACACCUGUAGUCCCAGCUACUUGGGAGGCUGAGGUGGGAGGAUCACUUGGACCCAGGAGGUCAAGGCGGCAGUGAGCCAAGAUCAUGCCACUGCACUGAAGCCCGGGUGACAGAGCAAGACCUGGUCAAAAAAAAAAAAAAAAAAAAAAAAAAACCCUAAAAAAAAAAAAGGAAAGAAAGAAAGAAAAAAGAACAGAAGAAUGGAGCAAUAGCUGGAGGGCAAAGUGGGUCAAGGCCGGCUUUGUAUGGUGGUAUUUACACAGGAUCUGUUUGCAGCUGAUGGGAGGGAUGCCACAAAAGAGACAGCCCUGAGGAAGUGGGAGGGGACCAGAGCCUUGUGUUCAUAGGUAGGUCCCAGAGCUGGGACUACAGCAAGGCAAGCAAGUGUAAAAUUUAGGAGGCACUCAUUCUCAGGUGCCGACUCUCUACUGGUAUGACCCUGGGGAUGAGUGCCUCUUUAACCUUUAUGCCCUGGGUGCCUUGCUGGCCUGUUUCAUCCUAGUCCUGGCCCUGGCAGGCCCAUCUACAAUGCUAGGAGGGAGGGCAGACCUUGCUGCAGGGUGUUGGGAAACUUGGCCUUGGGAGCAGAUGGAGAUCUCUCCUGACAGCAUCCAUACCUGAAGGCGGAAGGCAGGAUUGCCGGCGGAGAAGAGAUCCAGGUGCCUUGAUGUGAGUGUUGACGGUGGAAAGCAGGCCAGAGCCAGCUCCGGGUGCCAGCUGGAGCCCCAGAAGAGGAUCAGGCAUCGUGUUUAGUCACAACCCCCACUCCUUCAUUGGGCCAGCAAAUAUCUAUCCAUCUUCCCACCGUCUACUCGCAGCCAACCAUGUUCCUGACACUGAAGCCAGAGAAGACCAGUGUCUCCCUGUAAACCGUGGCCUUCUGUGCACCGAGCUCAGUGGCUCUUCCCCACCAAAACUCCUAAGAGAAUUCAUCCCUCCCCAAAAGGAUCCCCACGAGAUGUUCUGGCCCUCUGCUGACUGCUCCCUGGAAUCUGCACCUCAAGCACUGAGAAUGCUGCGCUCUCCAUUGGUCACCGUCAGACUCCAUUUCCCUGCUGCCAAGUCUUCUCUUCUGCCCUGUGUAUUCCGUGGUGACCCCCUUAAUGUCUGUUCUGUGCCACUAGCUUGGCCCUG